GAUGAACGCUGGCGGCGUGCCUAAUACAUGCAAGUCGAGCGAACAGACGAGGAGCUUGCUCCUCUGACGUUAGCGGCGGACGGGUGAGUAACACGUGGAUAACCUACCUAUAAGACUGGGAUAACUUCGGGAAACCGGAGCUAAUACCGGAUAAUAUAUUGAACCGCAUGGUUCAAUAGUGAAAGACGGUUUUGCUGUCACUUAUAGAUGGAUCCGCGCCGCAUUAGCUAGUUGGUAAGGUAACGGCUUACCAAGGCGACGAUGCGUAGCCGACCUGAGAGGGUGAUCGGCCACACGGGAACUGAGACACGGUCCAGACUCCUACGGGAGGCAGCAGUAGGGAAUCUUCCGCAAUGGGCGAAAGCCUGACGGAGCAACGCCGCGUGAGUGAUGAAGGUCUUCGGAUCGUAAAACUCUGUUAUUAGGGAAGAACAAAUGUGUAAGUAACUAUGAACGUCUUGACGGUACCUAAUCAGAAAGCCACGGCUAACUACGUG
rnacentral:rRNA from 1 species